GCCGGGCGUGGUGGCGCGCGCCUGUAGUCCCAGCUACUCGGGAGGCUGAGGUGGGAGGAUCGCUUGAGUCCAGGAGUUCUGGGCUGCAGUGCGCUAUGCCGAUCGGGUGUCCGCACUAAGUUCGGCAUCAAUAUGGUGACCUCCCGGGAGCGGGGGACCACCAGGUUGCCUAAGGAGAGACAAAAGGAAUAUCGGAGCAGGUCAAAACUCCCGUGCUGAUCAGUAGUGGGAUCGCGCCUGUGAAUAGCCACUGUACUCCAGCCUGGGCAAUACAGUGAGACCCUGUCUCUU
rfam:Heterocephalus glaber contig183211, whole genome shotgun sequence.